rnacentral:rRNA from 1 species
AGCAGCCGCGGUAAUUCCAGCUCCAAUAGCGUAUAUUAAAGUUGUUGCAGUUAAAAAGCUCAUAGUUGAAUUUCGGGGUUAAUAAGUUGGUCGUACCUAUGGUAUGUACUGGCUUUAUUGAUUCCUACCUCUUGACGAACUGUGAUGCCAUUAAUUUGGUGUUGCAAGGAAUCAGGACUGUUACCUUGAAAAAAUUAGAGUGUUUAAAGCAGGCUUACGCUUGAAUACAUUAGCAUGGAAUAAUGAAAUAGGACGUUUGAACCUAUUUUGUUGGUUUCUAGGAUCGACGUAAUGAUUAAUAGGGAUAGUUGGGGGCAUUAGUAUUCAAUUGUCAGAGGUGAAAUUCUUGGAUUUAUUGAAGACUAACUACUGCGAAAGCAUUUGCCAAGGAUGUUUUCAUUAAUCAAGAACGAAGUUAGGGGAUCGAAGACGAUCAGAUACCGUCGUAGUCUUAACCAUAAACUAUGCCGACUAGGGAUCGGAUGAUGUUAAUUUUUUUAAUGUACUCAUUCGGCGCCUU